rnacentral:rRNA from 1 species
UACGUAGGGGAAGCGUUGUCCGGAAUUAUUGGGCGUAAAGGGCACGCAGGCGGUCCUUUAAGUCUGAUGUGAAAUCUUGCGGCUUAACCGCAAGCUGUCAUUGGAAACUGAAGGACUUGAGUGCAGAAGAGGAGAGUGGAAUUCCACGUGUAGCGGUGAAAUGCGUAGAGAUGUGGAGGAACACCAGUGGCGAAGGCGACUCUCUGGACUGUAACUGACACUGAGGCACGAAAGCGUGGGUAGCAAACAGGAUUAGAUA